GGAUGUGAGGGUGAUCUGGCUGCGACAUCUGUCACCCCAUUGAUCGCCAGGGUUGAUUCGGCUGAUCUGGCUGGCUAGACGAGUGUCCCCUUCCUCCCUCACCGCUCCACGUGUGUCCCUCCCGAAGCUGCGCGCUCGGUGGAAGAGGACGACGUCCCAGGUAUAGAAGGAGUGUACCAAGGUCUCCAGUCUUCGGUCCCGGGUAUACGAUAGCUGCGCUCCCCUGCUAGAACCUCCAAACAAGCUCAAGGUCCAUUUGUAGGAGAGUAAGAAGUAGAGACUGUUGGAAAUAAGGUAAGUAUGUUGUGGAAGAUUUGGGAUAAAGUUAUUACCUUGUUU
rnacentral:snRNA from 1 species